ACUUUUGAUUAAAAAAAAUUUAUUUGGCCCUCAAAUUUUUAAAUUCUGACAUUCAUCAUUUAAAACUUUCAGACUUCGUUUGGUUCAGGCAUAAACAAGAACUAGUUAUACCGGAGAUAGGUAUAAGUAUGAAUUUUCGUAGGAACAAGAAUAUUUUUUGUUUGGAUGAAAAUGUAAGUAUAAAGUGGAAUAGUUGGUAGUUAUAAAUAUAAAACAACGAUAUUACCCUAUAAUUGAAUUUAAAUUUUUAAACUUAUAAUCUUAAAUUAAAAAUUUUAAUUUUUAAAUUUUAAAUUUUGAAAUUAAAUUUAAAAUUGUAAUUUUCAAAAUUUUAAUUUUAAAUAUCAAAUUUUAAAUUUAAGACUAAAUUUAAAUUUGAAAGAUAUAAAAUAUCAAAUUUAAAAUUUAAAAACUAAAAAUAUCAUAUUUAAAAUUUAAAAAUAUCAAAUUUAAAAUUUAAAUUUUAUAAUUUAAAAUUUAAAAUUUAAAAUUUAAAAUUAUAAAUUAUAAAGUUUAGAAAUUUAAAUUUAAAAUAAAAAUCUCUCUCUCUCUCUCUCAUACCAGGAGCGGAUAGGAACAACUUGUUCCCACCCAACCCGAUACAAAGGGGGCUUGUACCGGGUAGGUGGGAACAAGUGUUCCCACCCAUCCAAAAUCAUGUAACUACCGUUUGGUUCGGAUAUAAGCAAGAACUAGCUAUUAUAGGAAGAGAUACAAGUAUGGGGAUAAGAAAAAUAACGUUUGGAUGAAAAUUGGGUUGUUCCCGGGGAUAAAAAAAAUAUUAAGUAGUUUUAUAUAGAAAAUGGAGGUGUUGGUGGGGAUAAUCGAGAACUACUAUUCUCGGAUAAAAAAUUAGCGUUUGGGUAUAAAGGGGGGAUAAGGGUCUAUUCCUAUUCCUAUCCCCUAACCAAACGCCGCUGUUAACUGAUACA
rnacentral:lncRNA from 1 species